rnacentral:piRNA from 1 species
UCAGGCAAAUAGUCUAUGAGCUGGCUAGG